UGUGAGAGCAUUUACAGCAAUGUGCCACACAGUGAAUGGGUGAAUUGUUUUGUUAUUUCCUGUAGCACUCAGGAGUUCAUCCAUCCCCAGAAGUGUGUAACAGCUGCGGCUUUUUAAUCGUGGACAUGGUAAAUAUCUAUCAAUUCGCUGUGAAUACAACUCCAUAUGUGCUGUGAGAUCUCACGCUCAGCUCACUGUGCACCAUCAGGUCCUACAGGCUCGUGGGAAAUCCUACCACCCGUCGUGCUUCUGCUGUGUCAUCUGCCGACAGAGCCUGGAGGGUCUGCCCUUCGCUGUGGACUCACACAGCAGGAUUUACUGUGUCAGCGACUACCACAGGGUCCGGGCUCCCUGGUGUGCCGCCUGCAGAACACAGAUUCUUCCAGCUGAGGGGUCUUCAGAGUCUGUUCGAGUCGUAUCAUUCAACAGAAAUUAUCAUGUGAAGUGCUUUGGAGGGGAUCUAAUGAGGACAGGUGCAGCCUGACCUCCUGCUGUCUUUUACUUUGUAAAUGAGGUUAUUUAUUAAAUGAUGUGACUCACUUAUGCUCUCAUUCAUUGUUUUGCACCAUCAUGUUGCACUGAUUUCUUUUAAAUGACGUCUUGACCAGAUUAACCUGCCAGGUAAAAUUAAGUUCAUGGAAGAACUGUCGGAGCGGAUUUCUGUCAUUUCAGGGUCGAUUCCUGUUUCAAGUGUCCCUGAGGAAAACACUAAACACCAGGUCUUAACUUGUGUCUGUCAAAUAAUGAAAUAAAGUAAUGAUGAUUACAGACCCGUAACAUUUCUUCACUGUGCUACGUCUACUGAAGUAAGAAAUCCACCUUUGAAUAUAUUCACUCAACAGAUUUUGAGGCGUGUUUACUUAUUAUUACUUAUUUUUAUAGUUUUGCUCCAACAAAGUUCAGAUGGACACAUUGUGCUUUUUACUCCACUAUUUAUGCAGCUAAAGUUACUAAUUAGUUUG
rnacentral:lncRNA from 1 species